rfam:Bacillus litoralis strain C44 Scaffold2, whole genome shotgun sequence.
CGAAAAAAAACCCUACAGAUAUACUCUGUAGGGUCCUUCAAAACCUUUUCACAUGUAAAAGGUUGAAGGCAAAGGGAGAGGAGAAACCGGAGGAAGAACUUAUGGGGAAACGUAAGUCUUCUCCGCGG